rnacentral:SRP_RNA from 1 species
CGCUGGACCUUAUGCGCCGGAACUCCUCGAACGGGUCAGGCGGGGAACCGAGCAGCCAUAAGAGACGGUUCCGGGUGCUGUAAGUCAUCUGGCGGCG